UACAGAGGGGGCAAGCGUUAUUCGGAAUUAUUGGGCGUAAAGGGCGCGUAGGCGGCUUGGCAAGUGGAAGGUGAAAUCCCUCGGCUUAACCGAGGAACUGCCCUCCAAACUGCUUCGCUUGAGACCGGGAGGGGUGAGUGGAAUUCCCAGUGUAGCGGUGAAAUGCGUAGAGAUCCGGAGGAACACCGACGGCGCAGGCAGCGUCCUGGCCGCUUGCUGACACUGAGGCACGAAAGCUGGGGGAGCAAACAGG
rnacentral:rRNA from 1 species